CAAAGACAUAUACAAAA
rnacentral:sRNA from 1 species